GGUGAACGCUGGCGGCGCGCCUAACACAUGCAAGUCGAACGAUUAAAGCACCUUCGGGUGUGUAUAAAGUGGCGAACGGCUGAGUAACACGUGGGCAACCUGCCCCUUUCAUUGGGAUAGCCACGGGAAACCGUGGAUAAUACCGAAUACUUCGAGACUUCCGCAUGGAAGACUCGAGAAAGCUCCGGCGGAGAGGGAUGGGCCCGCGGCCUGUUAGCUUGUUGGUGGGGUAACGGCCUACCAAGGCAAUGAUGGGUAGCUGGGUUGAGAGACCGACCAGCCAGAUUGGGACUGAGACACGGCCCAGACUCCUACGGGAGGCAGCAGUGGGGAAUCUUGCACAAUGGGCGAAAGCCUGAUGCAGCGACGCCGCGUGCGGGAUGAAGGCCUUCGGGUUGUAAACCGCUUUCAGCAGGGACGAGGCGAAAGUGACGGUACCUGCAGAAGAAGCCCCGGCUAACCACGU
rnacentral:rRNA from 1 species